rnacentral:rRNA from 1 species
UACGAAGGGGGCUAGCGUUGCUCGGAAUCACUGGGCGUAAAGGGUGCGUAGGCGGGUCUUUAAGUCAGGGGUGAAAUCCCGAGGCUCAACUCCAGAACUGCCUUUGAUACUGAGGAUCUUGAGUUCGGGAGAGGUGAGUGGAACUGCGAGUGUAGAGGUGAAAUUCGUAGAUAUUCGCAAGAACACCAGUGGCGAAGGCGGCUCACUGGCCCGAUACUGACGCUGAGGCGGCGAAAGCGUGGGGAGCAAACAGG